GAUAAACAAUUUGUUCAAUAAAUUCAGUUCCUAAUGUGGAAAACGAAGCCUUUGAGUUAAUUCAAAAAAAAAUAAUUAGAUUUUAGAAAACAACAAAUUUCAAGCAAAAUACAAGAAAAUUAAAAAAAGAAAACUAAUAACUCCAAAAUUUCCCAAUUUUCGAAUCAUAUAAUUUUUUAAAAAAAUAAAAAAAAGCAAACGAAAAAUCAAAAAUCAACAAUCAAAAUUUUGAACAAUUCCCAGAUCAAAAAAGAAAAGACGAAUCCGAAACAAACCCCAAACCCAAACCAAUCAAAAACAAAAAUCCCAUAUCUUAUUGAAAUCAAUAACAAACCGAUCGAUAACGGAAUAACAUAGACAAACAAAAUUUGUAAAAAUAACCUAAAAUUGAAACUGCUUUGAAGAAAAUUAAGCAGGAAAAAGGAUUAAAAAUAGAAAAAAAAAAAGGUACCUUUGUGAGAGGUAGCGCUGGUAG
rnacentral:misc_RNA from 1 species